UUUCCGUAGGUGAACCUGCGGAAGGAUCAUUAUUGGAUUUUGAAACUUCAGGCUGCUGCUGGCUCUCCUCGGAGGGCAUGUGCACGCUUGUUGUCCAUUAUUUCUCCCACUGUGCACAAAUUGUAGACCUUUCAGUAGGCCUAUGUUGUUUUUCACAAUCUCUGAAUGUAAUAGAAUGGUUUUGAAUCUUGGGAAAUACAAUACAACUUUCAGCAACGGAUCUCUUGGCUCUCGCAUCGAUGUAGAACGCAGC
rnacentral:misc_RNA from 1 species